rnacentral:rRNA from 1 species
GACGAACGCUGGCGGCGUGCUUAACACAUGCAAGUCGAACGAAGAGCGACGGAAGCUUGCUUCUAUCAAUCUUAGUGGCGAACGGGUGAGUAACGCGUAAUCAACCUGCCCUUCAGAGGGGGACAACAGUUGGAAACGACUGCUAAUACCGCAUACGAUCUAAUCUCGGCAUCGAGGAUGGAUGAAAGGUGGCCUCUACAUGUAAGCUAUCACUGAAGGAGGGGAUUGCGUCUGAUUAGCUAGUUGGAGGGGUAACGGCCCACCAAGGCGAUGAUCAGUAGCCGGUCUGAGAGGAUGAACGGCCACAUUGGGACUGAGACACGGCCCAGACUCCUACGGGAGGCAGCAGUGGGGAAUCUUCCGCAAUGGACGAAAGUCCGACGGAGCAACGCCGCGUGAGUGAUGACGGCCUUCGGGUUGUAAAGCUCUGUUAAUCGGGACGAAAGGCCUUCUUGCGAAUAGUGAGAAGGAUUGACGGUACCGGAAUAGAAAGCCACGGCUAACUACGUG